AGGUAAUAGAUACCCCGGUAGUCCACGCCCUAAACGAUGUCAACUGGUUGUUGGGAAGGUUCCUUCUCAGUAAACGUAGCUAAACGCGUGAAAGUUGACCGCCUGGGGGGUACGGGCCGCAAGGUUAGAACUACAAGGAAUUGACGGGGACCCGGCACAAGCGGUGGAUGAUGUGGUUUAAUUCGAUGCAACGCGAUAAACCUUACCUACCUUGACAUGCCAGGAAUCCUGCAGAGAUGUGGGAGUGCUCGAAAGAGAACCUGGACACAGGUGCUGCAUGGCCGUCGUCAGCUCGUGUCGUGAGAUGUUGGGUUAAGUCCCGCAACGAGCGCAACCCUUGUCAUUAGUUGCUACGAAAGGGCACUCUAAUGAGACUGCCGGUGACAAACCGGAGGAAGGUGGGGAUGACGUCAGGUCCUCAUGGCCCUUAUGGGUAGGGCUACACACGUCAUACAAUGGCCGGUACAGAGGGUUGCCAA
rnacentral:rRNA from 1 species